CCAUGCUAAAAAAAAAAAAAAAAAAUCAGAAGUUUCAAUUCCCAAUGAGUUACUCUCAAGUGCAGUGCCUGGCUGGCUUUCAAUCUCUCCCCUCCAACCUCCUGCAUAAGGCACUAAUUCCAGUCCAGAAGUUCUAUGUGAAGUUAAAAA